rnacentral:rRNA from 1 species
GACAGAGGAGGCAAGCGUUGCUCGGAAUUACUGGGCGUAAAGGGCGCGUAGGCGGCCACCGCAAGUCGACUGUGAAAUCUCCGGGCUUAACCCGGAAAGGUCAGCCGAUACUGCGGGGCUAGAGUGCAGAAGGGGCAACUGGAAUUCUCGGUGUAGCGGUGAAAUGCGUAGAUAUCGAGAGGAACACCUGCGGCGAAGGCGGGUUGCUGGGCUGACACUGACGCUGAGGCGCGAAAGCUAGGGGAGCGAACGGG